AUGGUUUCCUCCAAGAAAACCGCGCUUCUUUUCUUGGCCCUGCUGCUGUUCUCGUGCGCCGGCAUGGCCAGCGCGGCACGGGGCCUGGAGGAGACGGCGCCUGAUGACGAUUACCCGGCCGAAGCGCCGGCACCGGAGCAAGAUCUGCUGCCGCCGUUCCCGGGGUUGCCGUCGUUCCCGAAAGUCGAACUGCCGCCCAUGCCCCCCGGGUUCAGCUUUCCCGAGCCCGAGCCGGAGGCCGAUGAGCCGUGA
rnacentral:rRNA from 1 species